CUGGGAGCCUCACGCUGUGCCCUCCUCCAGCCGCGCCAGGCUUCCCUGCGGUGAUGAGGGGCACCGCGAACGGUGCGGUUGGAGCAGAGCGCGCAGCGGAGGCUGCGCCCAGAGAGGAGCUCACUUCUCCGCCCCACCGGGAGGCAGCGGCUGGGACGACUCUGAGAGCCGGUAGGUGUUGGGCCAUGGCCCUCCCCCGACCCCGCUGGAGGCCGGUUCCCUCCCCUUCCCUUCCUACCUACCUCUCCUCCCUCCGGGCCUGGUGGGUGGCCAGGGCCGGAGUUCGCUGCAAGUCGGCAGAACGUUUGGCGGCGCAGGCUCCCCAGAAGUUCAGGUGCAGAGAACCAGGGAUGGGAAAGGAGGAGUCUGGGUUUGGGUGGGGCAGGGGGCCCGGCGAGUUCCGGGGAUCACUCGGUGGCCUCUGCUGUACUUCAGUUUCCCCAAGCUGCAGUCAGCUAGGUGGCAGAUCACUGAGUUGAGACCAAAAGAGGGGUUUUAGGGUUGGGGACGGCAGCUUGGGCGCCAUGGCUUGGGGCUGGGGCUCUGCCUGCGGGCUACUUUCCUCUCCCCAGGUCCUGGAGCCUCUUAAUUUUUUUAAUGAGGAGGAGCUGCUGGCUUGUAAAAUCAUAUUCCUCUCUCUCAAAGAAGAAUUGUGUUUGUAACAUGGUUUGAAGCAAGUAAGGGGUAUAGUUAUUGAAAAAUUUAAAAACUGGUUAUAACAUGCAUAUUUAGAUAGUAACACACCAUUUAGGAAGAUUGAACUCAUGUAGUGCAGAUAUUCAAUUACCAUGAAGCAGUAGUAGAACCCCAGUUCCUCACUUAAUUACAGGAUUUAAUUCUGAAUUCCAGGCACCAUGACUUUGAGAAGAAGCUUCCAUUUCUAUAGCAUGUAAGGUUCAACUCUACAAGUUUUCCCAGUGAUAUUUCUUGAGAUUUACUCUACCUUUUAGGAUCCUUUUUACCUUAUUUCAAAGAAAGAAGGAAUAGUUACCUGGAGAAAAUAUAAAGAUACUGCAAAAUGACACUCAUUAGCCAGUGGCUUACAGUGUGAUUGUCAUAGGCCUUCCUUCACA
rnacentral:lncRNA from 1 species